GGAAGCCGGGCCCAAGCUGGUGGCAGAGGCCUUGGUUUCCCCUCAUCCAGCACGCCCCCCCCCCGAGUUCUCGCCCUCCCCCGCCCGUGGCCCCAAGGAGCAGUGGACGCUGACCGCAUGAGGCUGCACAGCUGCUACUCCGGAGUCCUGAGUGACCAGGAAGGAAGGGUGUUCAACUCCUCCGAGACCUCCGGGCCCUGGGGAAGCCUGAACCACGUGGAGGGGCCACACAGAGCGGUGCUGGGAGAUGGUCCUGGCCCAGGGACCAGAUAUGGCAGAGCAGAGCAGAGAUGUCCCCACUGUGGCCUUUCAGGAUAACUGGCCCACAG
ensembl:lncRNA